rnacentral:rRNA from 1 species
CGGCGCGCCUAACACAUGCAAGUCGAACGAAGAGCCAUUUUUGAAGUUUUCGGAUGGAAGAGAUGGUUUCUUAGUGGCGGACGGGUGAGUAACGCGUGAGUAACCUGCCUUUCAGAGGGGGAUAACGUCUGGAAACGGACGCUAAUACCGCAUAACGUAUCGACGUCACAUGGCGAUGAUACCAAAGGAGUAAUCCGCUGAAAGAUGGACUCGCGUCCAAUUAGCUAGUUGGUGGGGUAACGGCCCACCAAGGCGACGAUUGGUAGCCGGACUGAGAGGUUGAACGGCCACAUUGGGACUGAGACACGGCCCAGACUCCUACGGGAGGCAGCAGUGGGGAAUAUUGCACAAUGGGGGAAACCCUGAUGCAGCGACGCCGAGUGAGGGAAGAAGGUUUUCGGAUUGUAAACCUCUGUCCUUGGUGAAGAUAAUGACGGUAGCCAAGGAGGAAGCUACGGCUAACUACGUGCCAGCAGCCGCGGUAAUACGUAGGUAGCAAGCGUUGUCCGGAAUUACUGGGUGUAAAGGGAGCGUAGGCGGGAAUGCAAGUUGAAUGUUAAAUCUAUGGGCUCAACCCAUAGCCGCGUUCAAAACUGCAUUUCUUGAGUGAAGUAGAGGCAAGCGGAAUUCCUAGUGUAGCGGUGAAAUGCGUAAAUAUUAGGAGGAACACCAGUGGCGAAGGCGGCUUGCUGGGCUUUAACUGACGCUGAGGCUCGAAAGCGUGGGUAGCAAACAGGAUUAGAUACCCUGGUAGUCCACGCUGUAAACGAUGAUUACUAGGUGUGGGGGGACUGACCCCUUCCGUGCCGGAGUUAACACAAUAAGUAAUCCACCUGGGGAGUACGACCGCAAGGUUGAAACUCAAAGGAAUUGACGGGGGCCCGCACAAGCAGUGGAGUAUGUGGUUUAAUUCGAAGCAACGCGAAAAACCUUACCAGGUCUUGACAUCCUUUGACCGCCUGAGAGAUCAGGUUUCCCUUCGGGGCAAAGUGACAGGUGGUGCAUGGUUGUUGUCAGCUCGUGUCGUGAGAUGUUGGGUUAAGUCCCGCAACGAGCGCAACCCUUACUGUUAGUUGCUACGCAAGAGCACUCUAACGGGACUGCCGUUGACAAAACGGAGGAAGGUGGGGAUGACGUCAAAUCAUCAUGCCCUUUAUGACCUGGGCUACACACGUACUACAAUGGCCGUUAACAGAG